UAUGACAAAGCAAAACAAAGGAUUGAAGAAUGGAGACUUAAACAUAGUAAAAAUGUAAAUACUGGAAAGCUAAGAGCCCCUAUUAUCUGCAUACUUGGGCAUGUGGAUACAGGGAAGACAAAAAUUCUAGAUGAACUCCAUCACACUCAUACAAAAUGGUGAAGGAGGUGGGAUCACACAACAAAUUGAAACUGCCAAUAUUCCUUUUGAAGCUAUUAAUGAAUAGACUAAGAUGUUUAAAAAUUUUGAUAGAAUGAACGGAUUCCAGGAAUGCUAAUUAUUGAUACUCCUAGGCAUGCAUCUUUCAGUAAUCUGAGAAAUAGAGGAAGUUCUCUUUGUGACAUUGCUAUUUUAGUUAUUGAUAUUAUGUAUGGUUUGGAGCCCCAGACGAUUGAGUCUAUCAACCUUCUCAAAUCUAAAAAAUGUCCCUUCAUUGUUGCACUCAAUAAGAUUGAUAGGUUAUAUAUGAUUGGAAAAAAAGUCCUAAUUCUGAUGUGCCUGCUGCUUUAAAUAAGCAGAAAAAAAAUACAAAAAAUGAAUUUGAGAAGCAAGCAAAGGCUAUUAUUGCAGAAUUUGCACAGCAGGGUUUGAAUAUUGUUUUGUUUUAUAGAAUAAGGAUCCCCGCACUUUUGUGUCUUUGGUACCUACGUCUGCACAUACUGGUGAUGACAUGGAAAGUCUGACCUGCCUUCCCUUUGAGUUAACUCAAACCAUGUUGAGCAAGAGACUUGUGCACUGUGAAGAGCUGAGAGCACAGGUGAUGUAGGUUAAAGCCCUCCCAGGGAUGGGCACCACUGCAGAUGUCAUCUUGAUCAAUGGGCAUUUGAAGGAAGGAGAUACAGUCACUGUCCCUGGAGUAGAAGGGCCCAUUGUAACUCAGAUUCGAGGCCUCCUGUUACCUCCUCCUAUGAAGGAAUUAUGAGUGAAGAACCAGCAUAAAAAAGUAAAAGCAGUUCAGGGGGUAAAGAUUCUUGGAAACGACCUGGAGAAAACACUGGCUGGUUUACCCCUCCUCAUGGCUUAUAAGGAAGAAGAAAUCCCUGUUGUUUUGUUUCGUUUUUUUGAGAUGGAGUUUCCCUCUUAUUACCCAGGCUGGCAUGCAAUGGCACGAAAUCGGCUCACCGCAAUCUCCGCCUCCUGGGUUCAAGCGAUUCUCUUGCCUCAGCCUCCCGAGUAGCUGGGAUUACAAGUGCCUGCCACUACAUCCAGCUAAUUUUUUUUUUUUUUGAGAUAGAGUCUUGUUCUCUCGGCAGAUUGGAGUGCAGUGGCUGGAUCUUGGCUAAGUGCAACCUCCACCUCCUGGGUUCAGGAGAUUCCCCUACCUCAGCCUCCUGAGUAGCUGGGACUACAGGCUUGCACCACCAUAUUCAGUUAAUUUUUUGUGUUUUAGUAGAGACGGGAUUUUACCAUGUUGGCCAGGAUGGUUUCGGUCUCCUGACAUUGUGAUCUGCCCACCUUGGUCUCCCAAAGUGCUGGGAUUAGAGGUAUGAGCCACCACACCCAGCCUAAUUUUGUAUUUUUAGUAGAGACAGGGUUUCUCCAUGUUGGUCAAGGUGGUCUCAAAUACCUGACCUCAGGUGAUGCACCCGCCUCGGCCUCCCAAAGUGCUGGAAUUAUAGGCAUGAGCCACUGCACCCAAUUGAAAUCCUUGUUCUUAAAGAUGAAUUGAUCCAUGAGUUAAAGCAGACAGUAAAUAGUAUCAAAGUAGAAGAAAAAGGAGUCUAUGUCCAGUCAUCUACACUGGGUUUUUUGGAAACUCUACUUGAAUUUCUGAAAAAUCAGAGUGCCCUAUGCAGGAAUUAACAUUGACCCAGCACAUAAAAAAAUAUGUUAUGAGGACUUCCGUGAUGUUGGAACAUGACCCUCAGUAUGCAGUAAUUUUGGCCUUUGAUGUGAGAAUUGAACGAGAUACAUAAGAAAUGGCUGAUCAUUUAGGAGUUAGAAUUUUUAGUGCAGAAAUUAUUUAUCAUUUAUUUGAUGCCUUUACAAAAUAUAGA